GACAGUGCGCAUGCGCCGCUCUCCGCGCUCGGCCCCUCCCCCCGGCGGCGGGACAGCGAGAACAGCUCGAGCUCUCGGCGGCUUUUGGCGCCUUUUCCCGCCGAGGGCUCGAGCUGUCCACGGGAAUCAUGUAAUAAUUAAUAACCAGGGACGUGUAGCAGCUGCUGCAGUGAUGCAUCUCCUGCAAUGCAGUUGUACCUUGCAGGGGAGCAGCUGCUGCAGUGAUGCAUCUCCUGCAAUGCAGUUGUACCUUGCAGGGGAGCAGCUGCUGCAGUGAUGCAUCUCCUGCCAUGCAGUUGUGCCUUGCAGGGGAGCAGCUGCUGCAGUGAUGCAUCUCCUGCAGUGGAGCAUCUCCUGCAGUGGUGCAUCUCCUGCAAUGCAGUUGUGCCUUGCAGAGGAGCAGCUGCUGCAGUGAUACGGCUUCUGCAGUGGAGCAUCUCCUGCAGUGAAGCAUCUCCUGCAGUGAAGCAUCUCUUGCAGCUGCAGGGAAAGUUCAAGCCUCCACCAUCUCCUCAAGCAGCGUGUCCCAGAUUGCAACCACCCUCUGGAUUUUCAGCAUCUGCGGUUCUUUGCUUUACACGUUGAUUUUGAUGUUGUGACCGGCCAACAACGAAUCAAAGGAGAUCAGAUACGUGGUGUCGUAAUCUACUGGGAUUCAAGUAACUAAAGUCUAGGUGUCCAAUCCUCAUCUGACUCGCUGGAUUCGUAUACUUGGGCUUGACGCCUUCUGCUCCGAUUUGUCGUGAAUUCUGGCUUUGGUACGUCUAAUCCUGUGAAUAAUAAAACAUGCUCAUCACCUGUUAUGGCCACAACUUCAGAUUUUCAGCAUCUGCGGUUCUUUGCUUUACACGUUGAUUUUGAUGUUGUGACCGGCCAACAACGAAUCAAAGGAGAUCAGAUACGUGGUGUCGUAAUCUACUGGGAUUCAAGUAACCAACUGUGGAAGUCAGAGAACCAGUUGUGACUGUGAGACGUGGUGUUGUGUUGGAAGCACACAGAUGGCCUGGGACGUUCAUUAGAUGCAUCAAGAAGUUGCUAUGGAGACGGUGCAGGACGUUCCCCCCGGUUACGGCAGGGUUCCCUUCCUGGGAACCGUUCCCAAGCGGAACAUGCGUCCGUGAACAGAGUUCCCACACGGCAGAAGAUGCCUGCAGCCCCGCAGCAGCCGGUAAAUCCAUCCCACCGUCUCCCAGACACUCGCUCAUGUGUACGGGCUGUACUUUACUGUGUCCGUAAGCUGGGGACGAUCUACACCUCAAACAAGCCAACUCGGGGCUGGACAACGAUUAAAGAUAAAGACGGAACAAAGAAAUAAUGACAGAAAAUGCUCUAAAUACUCAGCCGGUCGGGCAGCAUCUUGUGGAGAAAGAAACAGUUCAUGUUUCACGCUCCUGUAGAAACAGGCCCUUCAGCCCAACUUGUCCAUGCUGACCAAGAUGCCUCCUCUAAGGUGAUCCUAUUUGCCCACGUUUGGCCCAAAACCCUCUGACCUUUCUUCCCCAUGUUGAAACACCUUCUGAAAAAUGUCUUCUCAGAUCAAUGACCGUUCAUCAGAACUGAUGCAGUCACAUAAUGUGGCUAGUUCUGAUACAAAAUGGAAAGGCUGGUUAUCUGAAAUUGCCCAUAUUAAUGAUAACUUCAAGGGCUGCACCACACUGAAACGUGGUGCUCUUCCGCAAGAUGUUGUCGGCUUCGUUGGAACAAUUGGAACGGCUUCAUUUGGGGCGGCACGGUGGUGCAGCGGUAGAGUUGUGGCCUUAUAGCACCAGAGACCCGGUUUCGAUCCUGACUAUGGGUGCUGUCUGUAUGGAGUUUGUACGUUCUCCCCGUGACCUGAGUGGGUUUACGCCAAAAUCUUCAGUUUCCUCUCACACUCCAAAGACGUACAGGUUUAUAGGUUAAUUGGCUUGGUAUAAUUGUAAUUUGUCCCUAGUGUGUGUAGGAUAAUGUUAAUAUGUGGGGAUCGCUGGUCAGUGCAGACUCGAUGGGCUCUCUAAACUAAACUAAACAAUGUAGGUGGACUAAUAAUAAAACAUGCAAUAGUCUGGAACAUCUGCCAUCCAGCACCAAACUCCCAAGUGUCCCAGAUUUGUGAGUUAUAAUGAACUCUAUCUGCUGGUGUUUCUGGAGGUCACCUCAGUAUGUGAAGCUCUUCCCACAGUGUGAACAUUCACACGGCCUCUCUCCGGUGUGGGUCCGCUGGUGUUGGUGGAGGGUCCCUGCCCGUGUGAAACACUUCCCACAUUCUGCACAUUCAUGCCGUCUCUCCUUUGUCCGUGCUUGAAGAUCACCUGAUUUCCCAAUUCCACUCCUUCCGUCAGAUAGUGUGAACGGACUCUGCCCACGUUUACAUUGUGAAUCUGGGUUCACACCGGAGGCAGAAGGUUGUCCAGCUGACGUUGGUCUGGAAGCUUCAGGAUGCCUUCUUCAGUGUUGUAUAAGGAACUCCAUGUGGUAAAUGCAACAGUGCAGUGAGGGCAGGGAUGACAGUCUCCUUGGGUCACUCCUGACUUGUGGCAACAAUAAAAGUGGUUGAUUUAUCAACGCCGUGUUGAUGAACUCAGUGCGAUAACCAGACUGCAUCACAACAGCCCCGAUCCCAGCGAUCCCGCACAGUCAGAAUAUCCCAGUGGGGACAGUUUAUCCCAGUGGGAAGAUGCAGUCUAGAGAGGGUCAGACAUGCGGCAAUGAUACCCGUCCCUGGUCCCCAAUUCACACGGGGUGGGAAACCAGGGACCCAUCCCUUAUACCCCAGACUUCUCCACACAAAGUAUCAUCAUAAAGGGGGAAAUACAGCAAGGGCCAAUAUUAAUACAGUUUGAAAAUGUAAAUACAUACUCAAAGUAAUUCAAUAUGAAAGAAUUAAAUGUAAAAACACUGAAAAUGGGUGACAUUUCUCUGAUAAAGCUCUGCCUGCAGUCUGAACAUUUGUACGGCCUCUCUCCAGUGUGAAUCCACUGGUGUUGGUGGAGGGUCCCUGCCCGUGCGAAGCUCUUCCCACAGUCUGCACAUUCAUGCAGUCUGUGAAACUCUUCCUACAGCCGCUAUCCCGUGUGGGUCUUCUUAUCGAGUCCACACACGAGAUUAGAAGUUGUUCAGCCAGAGCUGAACACACGUCUCGGCAUCUGCAUACAACGGUGUCUGUCUUGUACUUCUUGUGCUUGGUGGUGGAAAGAUUGGUGAAACCAGGGCCACGACGUGAAUGCUCUUUCCUUGACCCCGUGGGUCCUCUGGUGUCGAUGGAGGGAGCUGGACUCUGAAACUCUUCUUCCAGACUGUGCUUUUGUACGGCCUCUCUCCGGUGUGGGUCCGCUGGUGUAGAUGGAGGGUCCCUGCCCGUGUGAAACACUUCCCACAUUCUGCACAUUCAUGCCGUCUCUCCUUUGUCCGUGCUUGAACAUCACCUGAUUUCCCAAUUCCACUCCUUCCGUCAGAUGGUGUGAACGGACUCUGCCCAUGUUUACAUUGUCAAUCUGGGUUCACACCGGAGGCAGAAGGUUGUCCAGCUGACGUUGGUCUGGAAGCUUCAGGAUGCCUUCUUAAGUGUUGUAUAAGGAACUCCAUGUGGUAAAUGCAACAGUGCAGUGAGGCCAGGGAUGACAGUCAAUGUUUCC